GAUGAACGCUGGCGGCGUGCCUAAUACAUGCAAGUAGAACGCUGAAGCUUGGUGCUUGCACCGAGCGGAUGAGUUGCGAACGGGUGAGUAACGCGUAGGUAACCUGCCUCUUAGCGGGGGAUAACUAUUGGAAACGAUAGCUAAUACCGCAUAAAAGUCGAUAUCGCAUGAUAUUGAUUUGAAAGGUGCAAAUGCAUCACUAAAAGAUGGACCUGCGUUGUAUUAGCUAGUUGGUGAGGUAACGGCUCACCAAGGCGACGAUACAUAGCCGACCUGAGAGGGUGAUCGGCCACACUGGGACUGAGACACGGCCCAGACUCCUACGGGAGGCAGCAGUAGGGAAUCUUCGGCAAUGGGGGCAACCCUGACCGAGCAACGCCGCGUGAGUGAAGAAGGUUUUCGGAUCGUAAAGCUCUGUUGUAAGAGAAGAACGAGUGUGAGAGUGGAAAGUUCACACUGUGACGGUAACUUACCAGAAAGGGACGGCUAACUACGUG
rnacentral:rRNA from 1 species